rfam:Beta vulgaris subsp. vulgaris Bvchr8.sca018.con0254.1, whole genome shotgun sequence.
GGACAAUGACGAGGAAUAAAUUAAGGUCUCGUUCGUCGUAAGUGCGAUUUCAUUGCCUUGCCGAAAACUCAUAACCAUUUCCGAGUCC